CCAACCAUCCCCCUACCACCAAUAUCACCCACUAGAGAAUUGUCACCUGGAUGAAUCACUACUACUGCCAAAAGAAAAGAUUGAUAUCUCCCUUCUGAGCAUCCUUGUUCCCUCCAGCCACCAUUAACUGCCUUCCUAACUAGUUCUGCACCACAGUUAACAAGAACUGACCACAUGCUGCGUGAAGGCCAACAAACACAUUGAUACAGCCACAAGUACUGGCUCUGCACUGAAGGUGUUCCUUCUUGGUGGCACUGGUACAGGCUCUGCAUUUUAGCGACCAGCCCUUCCAGCAAAGCAGGAAUGUCAUCCAAAGCCGCACAGCCCUCAGCCGGGAGAGAGGGGAGAGCGACUGAGGCUGGUUCAAGGCAUUUCCUUGUUGCAGGAGGAUAUGAGGAAACCACAGGACAUUACUGGGUUCCAAAUCGUACUGUUUACGAGAUACGUGCAAACAUACAAACCCUGGUAGCUGAGUGUCUAUCCGAAGUCCUGUAUCAGACCUCAAGAGGCAAAGACACGUAUAAGGCCUGGACCAGCCUUCAGAGACUCAGACUCAGGAAAAUGAGUCCUCAUUAAAGGAAGAAAUAAAAAGAAGCUCCACUUUCAGCAAUAUUCAGUGUUGCAUGUGACCAACAGAUAAAGUAAAUAAUUUCAAACCAGAUGGACUGUCAAAUGC